AAUAAUAGAGGCGCGGAAUUUAUGAUAAGCAAAAGCGGGGCUUUGGCUUUUGCGGGAAAGGAACUUCCGCCGAAGAGACCGAUCUUCCCGAAAGUCGGUUUUCUGGGUGCAGGGAAAAUAUCUUUGCAACUGUCACAAGAAUUUGUGUUGCGCUAUUAGA
rnacentral:ncRNA from 1 species